rnacentral:lncRNA from 1 species
CCUCUGUUUGAACUAUCUAAAUGAUUUCUCUUUUCCUAAAUGGACCCUGACUAAUAUUAUACAUAACUUUUCAGUGCUUGAAUCUUUAAAUUAAUUUAAAGCUGCUCUAUAAUCUGUAUUUUGAAACUUGGAGCUUUAAAAAUCUAGACACAACCAACUGCUCAUUACAUAGAAUCAAACCAACAGAAUGUCACGGGGGAAAAAAGUGUUCUUAUCAAAUUCCAAAAAACUUCAAGAAAGGAUCUAAAUUAGAUAACAUAUUGAAAAGUGUUCAUAAUAGUGGCUCAUCAUUUGUUUGACAAUAUACUGGUAUGAAAAUAUUUUACCAUGACAAUACUCACUGUGAUGAAAUUUAUUCCACAAACAAGUUUCUUCAAAGUAGUUUUUUUUAAUCUUAGGAUUAUACAAAACCACCUAAUAAAAAUAGGCACUAUAAUUCCUGGGCUUUUAGUUUCAAAGUCUGUUUUCCCAUCUGUUAUCCAAAGUCUAGGUCCACACAACCAAAGCAAAAUGGAAGAUUGUGUAAUUAUCCUUUGACUCAGAGACAAAUAAGAAUAUCAGUAGGGAAGGGACAUCCAUGCUCAUUUGGUUUAACACCUGCUCUGAUGUAUGAUUCCUUUGAAAUGUCUAAUAACCAUAGAGUGGAUAGUUAUGCUAGAUUUGAAUGACCUCGAUGAUGGCUAAUCAUUACCUGUCCAAGCAGCCAUUCCUUUGUUGGACAGCUUGGAUUUCCAGAAAUAUAUCCCUUUCAUUGUGCCCAAGGAAUGAGCAGGCAUGAUGGUAGCUUCUAGGCAUGGAUUCUAGUUAUUCGUUGAAAUUUGUAAGAAUAAUUAGAUUCUCUAUUCUACUUAAAAGUUCUUUAAACCAUUGUAAAAAUACCCAUGACAUCUCUUUAUGGAAACACUUUCAGAGGCGGCCCAGUGACUGGGGGAAUUCUCAGUGUCAGGAGGAUCCUCUGACUACAAACUGAAGGCUUACCUCUUAUCUAGAAAUAUUGAACUUGAAAACAAAACGAGUUCUCCUUUCACACAUCUGUAGAGGCUCCUUCAGAAGAUACAACUGUACCCUUUCCAGAAAAGGUCUUAGCCAGAAGUGAGGUCAUCGACAGAUAUUCUGUCUCUAAGGACGCCCUCUUUACCUAGAAACAUGAAGACCCUGCAUAACCAAGGAAAAAAUACUUCUUUGAGAAUGUGACCAGAAAUAUUUAUUCCAAAUAUGUUUUGCACAUGAUCAUUGUGCAAGUGCAACAUUGUUAGUGUGAGUGACAGUGUCAGAGCAAGAUGGAGAUGAAAGAAGAAAUGGCAAGAAAUAAAUUUUAGGAGUUAGAGAAGGACUGAUUCUUAAAUGGCUUUGUAAGCCAUGCCUAGAAGCUUGAGCACUAUUCCACAGCAAAGAGGAGCCACUGGAGAAUAUUGAGUACAAUUGAAAGAUUUCCCUGGUAGCAGGGUGGAGUAUGAAUUGGUGGGGAGACAAGAUUGGCAGUAGGGCGAGUAGUUAGGCAAUAAUGCAGGAAAUAAAGGAUAAACCUGUGGAUGGUACAAUGUUCGUGGGGCUGCACAGGAUGGGCAUUGAAACAAAGGGGUAGGAUUAAAAGGAUUUAAUGAUUGGAUGUGAGAAUAAGAGAGAGGAACCAAUAGAGCAUGAUUCUUAGGUUCCUGGUUUGGGCAACUUGGAGCCAUUCAUAAAAAAAGGAACAUAAAAGAAUGGCAAGUUUAGGUUAUGGAGAGUUGAUGAGUUCUGUUGGGGUCAUGUUUAGUUUGAGUGUGUCUAGAUCACACUCAAGCACAGAUGACCCACACUAGGCUGCAUAAGUGGAUCUCGUACUCAAGAGAGUGAAGACGGGAAGUACAGAUUUUGGAGUUAUCAGCACAUUGGGUAGAGCUGAAUCCAUGGACAGUAUGAGUUCAUUCUAUCAUUAAUUCAUGUACUCAUCCACCUAGCUAUCCAUUAACUUAAUAUUUAGUGUCUACUUUAUACUGGUAACGUUACUUAGAUGGCUGAAUAUUGAUGCAUCAGUGAACAGAAGACAAAGUUUCGCACAUCACAGAACGUACAUCCUAGUGGGAAGGAGACCCACAAUAAAUAAAACAGCACACGAUGCCAGAUACCAUUAGUGCUCUCAAAGAAAAUGAAGGAGAGUAAGGGAUCAGAGAAAGCUCCUCUGAAGAGGUUAUGUCUGAGCAGAACCCUGAUGGAAGAAAGCAUAGCCCUGGAAGACAGGAGAUGGAGUGUCCUCUGUGGAGGGAAAAGGGGUGGAGGCAGAUCAGACCCUUUGAGAAACAGCAGGAUCUUCUGGGAAGAACAAAAGAGAGCCAAGACCAAGAGAAGAAUGUGGAGAUUGCUGACCUUUAAAGUGUGAGCAAAGAAGGGCUCUAAAAAGGAUGGACCAGAAUUACAGAAAGAAGAAUUGCAGAAUUAAUUCUGUGUUCUGUGACUAGAACACCACAGUUUGAUAAUUCUCUUCCUAUAUCCACCACCCCUGUUUGUAACUGUCUCUAUACGCAUCAGUAGACCGAAUCUAAGAACUCACUCUCUUUCUAUCAUUUUUUUUAGUCACAGAGGUCUCCCUGUGGUUUGGUGAUUGGCUGCCUCUGAGUCUUUGCAUGUCUUUUUGCAUAUUUCUGGAAGUUCUGGAGAGGAUGGGGUAAGGGGUGGGGAGGGAGCACCAAUUCCUCCUUUAUUUUUUAAUUUUAUUUUCUUUUUCAGCCGUACCCAGGGCAUAUGAAAUUCCCCAAGCCAGGGACUGAAUCUGAGCUGAAGCUUCAACCUAUGUCAAUUUUUUCUUUGGUUGUCUCAAAAAGAAAAACGGUUAAAACAACCUUCAAGUGGCAGAACUUUUGUGAAUGGUAGAUUUGAUGUUAUUGUCUAAGAAAUAUGCUGAUAAAAGGCAUUUAUCCAAUAGCAUUAGUUUUGCAUACAGCCCAUAUGUUUUCAAGAAGAUCUUCUCAGUACAAGAAGGUGAAGCUCAGGGUUCCCAUCGUGGCUCAGCCGUUAAUGAACCUGACUGUCAUCCAUGAGGAUGCAGGUUCGAUCCCGGUCCUCACUCAGUGGUUAAGGAUCCGGCGUUGCCAUGAGCUGUGGUGUGGGUUGCAGAUGUGGCUUGGAUCCCGCGUUGCUGUGGCCCUGGAAUAGGUUGGUGGCUACAGCUCCAAUUCGACCUCUAGCCUGGGAACCUCCAUAUGCCGCAGGUGCGGCCCUAAAAA